ensembl:lncRNA
AGUAUCUUUAUUUCAAGCCCUGAAUGUCCUGAAGCAAGCGUAAAAGCAAUGGUAUAUAGCCAUUGUGUUAGCUGGGUACCUAGGCUAACUUUGUUGGACUUAGAAACAAACUCUCAGAAUGGAACUCAGUCAUAUAUAGAGGACUUACUGUACUGACAUGAAGACAAUCACUGCUCUGCUUCUGUCUUCCAGGGGGCUUUCUGAAUCACAUUAUCUCUCUUUGUAGUCAAUUGGAACUCGCUGAAAUCUAUGCAGAAAGUAGAAUCCCUCAGGCCUGUGGAGUCAGAGAAGAGGAAGGAAGCCAGAGGAGAAGCUGGAGCAGACUUCCAUGUGCUACAGCGGGGGUUACGGCAGAUGGUGUUAACAGAUCCACUUACCACCACCAUCACCCCAGAAUCCACAUCUUGUGUCAUGAGACUCUGAGGUUCAUCUCACUAAAAGAUGACCAGAGACUCAGAGGCUUAAAGCUACACAGGCUACACAUGAUGGGCUCAACACUCCGGGCUAAUGGGGUGUUAACAGUGCUGCCAUCUGCCAGGAGGCCCCGUCCUGCUUCUCGACUUCUGAGCCCUCCCUCCGUCUUCGUCUUCAAGGCCAUCUCCCAGAGUAGUCAGCUCCCUCUCAGUCUCCGACUGCUGUCUCCAUCUUUCAUUCGCAAAGGCCCUUGUGAUGGCAUUGGGCUCUCUUGGAUAAUCCAGGUAAUCUCUCUGGCUCAAGAUCCUUAAUUUAAUCGCUGCUGUGAAGUUCCUCCUGCCAUGUGACAUACCGUACUCAUAAGCUCCAGAGAUGGAAUGGGACGUUUUUGAGGGGAAGGGGUAUUAUUUGCUUAUCACAUUUGCCAUCCUUCAUCCUUGACCGUCCCCUGCCCCCAACUCUCAUACAAGUUCCCUCCCACCCGAGCAGCGUUUCCUCAAUAAAUCACUUACAUAAGAAUCAUUGUCUAAGGAUAUGUUUUGGGGAAACAUGACCAAAUACAGGGCAAUUGGAAAUAAAAAAUGAUGACUAUCCAUUAAAGCCAAG